CUUUGUUUUCUAGGCCAACGUUUUUAGAGCGAGUUUUCCCCGUGAGGAGGCUCCCUUUUGUCUGCGGGCAAGCGGUUCGGGGGCCCAGCUGCUCCAGGAGUGUGGGUGUCAGCUGCCUUCUGUGCUUUCUGCAAGCAGGCAAAUCUUUGAUCCUUUUGGAAUUUACCCUGAUCUGCGGUGUGAGAAACCACGGAGCCCAACACUGGGCCAGGGCAGUUUGAUGCAGUAAGUCACCCAUGUGGAGCUUCCCUGUGGAGCUCUGCAGCCCAGGAGCCCUGGUGGGGAGGAGGGAGGUAGAGGAAGGGAUAGGGAGGAGGGGGAGGUGCAAAAUGAGAGAGAGAGGAGGCAAGGGGACUAGAGCUUGAAGACAAG